UCUUGAUGAUGCGACUGUUAGUUCGCAGAGAGAGGUCGUCCAUUUCUAACCAGCUUGGUUGGACUGGUUGGGGGGCAACGAUGGGAGAUCUGUGUUCGGUGUUGAAGAUUUGUUUGAGGCCGUCGAUUUGCGUCUGAGGCGGCGUGCUGUGAAUCAGACCGUUCUUUGGGUCUUCAUCUCAUCGGUUUUCCUUUAAACAGUUAUGUCUGUGUGCUUCGUCUCUUUAUCUCAUAUUUAUUUCCCUAUUGAGCGAGAAAAUGAUUGGCUUGAAAACUGCAAGAGAAAUUUUGCUGAAAUUUACUUUGUUGGUUGAGUGGAGUUACGGUAGUUCAACCCUUGGUUGGUGUGCCGAUCAACGCCAAGCAAGUAAAAUCCAUAAGAGGGGUGGUAUUUUGCUGCUUUAGAUAGAGCUGUUUGGUGGUUGUUUUUGGUUAAGUUAAGCAAGAGGUGAGUUUCUAGGCUGAAAUUCCAAUUCAUUGUUUUCCGUUAUGUGAAUAGAGAACAGUAAUAGUGGAAUCAAUUAACAAUUGGUUGGGAUUAGAUUGAACUAAUUGAUGUGGUUGUACGGCUGUAAAUAAAGACAAGUAAUUCUCAUGUGGUUUGAACCAAUGACAAGCUAUUUGAUGUAUGGUUUGUGCUUAGAUGCAUAUUAAUAUUUUUGACUUUUUUCUUUUAGUUCAUGGAAUAUAUGUAUUUGGAGGGGUUGUUAAUAAGAGUGUGAAAACAAGAAAAUUCUGCGACAAAUGAGACAAGAACAUGUGUACAAAGUAAUAUUUGUAUUAAUGAAAUUUAGGGUUACAAUCUCUGUAUGAAA